UACAGAGGGUGCAAGCGUUAAUCGGAUUUACUGGGCGUAAAGCGUGCGUAGGUGGUUCAGUAUGUCGGUCGUGAAAUCCCCGGGCUUAACCUGGGAACUGCGGCCGAAACUGCUGAGCUAGAGUGUGGUAGAGGGAGGUGGAAUUCCGGGUGUAGCGGUGAAAUGCGUAGAUAUCCGGAGGAACACCGAUGGCGAAGGCAGCCUCCUGGGCCACAACUGACACUGAGGUACGAAAGCGUGGGGAGCAAAC
rnacentral:rRNA from 1 species